CACAGGUGGGACUGCGUUUUACAAUAUUCAACAGGCAUUAAGUGUGAUUAGGUGGCUAUGAUUUGGAUAUUUUUUAAAAAUAUCUAAAUAAGGCUUGAGUUCUAAGAGGAGAGUUAGAGGAAUAACCAAAGGAAGGAUGAAAUCUAUAGAUAUUGGUUGGAACAUCAAUAGCGACAGCAUCACUCUAUUUUAGGACUGACACUGAAUCACUAAAGUGUGGGGAGCAAACCGG
rnacentral:rRNA from 1 species